rnacentral:rRNA from 1 species
UACGUAGGGGGCUAGCGUUGUCCGGAAUCAUUGGGCGUAAAGCGCGUGUAGGCGGUCCGGUAAGUCCGCUGUGAAAGUCGGGGGCUCAACCCUCGGAUGCCGGUGGAUACUGUCGGGCUUGAGUACGGAAGAGGCGAGUGGAAUUCCUGGUGUAGCGGUGAAAUGCGCAGAUAUCUGGAGGAACACCGGUGGCGAAGGCGGCAUCCUGGACCGACACUGACGCUGAGGAGCGAAAGCCAGGGGAGCAAACGGG